rnacentral:rRNA from 1 species
GAUCAACGCUGGCGGCGUGCAUGAGACAUGCAAGUCGAACGGACACUCAGGGCUUGCUCUGUGUGUUAGUGGCGGACGGCUGAGUAACGCGUAGGUGACCUGCCCCGAAGUGGGGAAUAACUGCCCGAAAGGGUGGCUAAUACCGCAUGUGGUGAUGCGUUCAUUCGCAUCAGUAAAGCCGCAAGGCGCUUCGGGAGGGGCCUGCGUCCGAUUAGCUCGUUGGUGGGGUAACGGCUCACCAAGGCGACGAUCGGUAGGUGGUCUGAGAGGACGAUCACCCAGACUGGGACUGAGACACGGCCCAGACUCCUACGGGAGGCAGCAGUCGGGAAUUUUGCGCAAUGGGCGAAAGUCUGACGCAGCAACGCCGCGUGAGGGAUGACGGCCUUCGGGUUGUAAACCUCUUUUGUCAGGGACGAUGAUGACGGUACCUGACGAAUAAGCCACGGCUAACUACGUGCCAGCAGCCGCAGUAACAC